UUGGUUCAGAUAAAGGCCAAUCAGACUUUUGGGGAAGCUCAUUGGUGCUUUCCUGAAGUUUCCAGCGCUCAGGGAGGACGGGAGAAUGCGGAAUGCCCGGCCAAUCUGAUCGCCGAUUGGCUGCUGUUUCCGCCAUUCAUUUCAGUUUAUGCGCCUGUCACUGCCACGUCACCCCCUCCCAUCGCUCUUCUCAUCAUCCUUUUCCGCCCUCAUGGAUUGGUGGUUGGUAUCAGCUGCUCCACCUUUUCUACCAUUUACUGAACGAGUUGAGGAAAAAGGGAAGGAGUCUCGUCUUUACAUCCUUAUUUUCUUUUUUUAUUGGUUGGCACCUAUGCCACUCACGUGGUGGAGAGGCGGGGCAAUAGUUGGAGAUGAUUGGUUCUGAGAAUUGGCUGUGAAAGCGGCAUUGCUGACCAGUGAGAGAGACCUAAUGAGGAGCAGGCCGGGGCAACCAAUGAAAUCGGAGAAGAGCGCUUGGGGGCGUGUCCGCCUGCUUUCAGCCUUUGGCAAGUUGGUGGGAGCUAAAAUCAGUCAUCUUCCUGCGAAGGCAUGAGGAGGAAAAGAGAGGAAGUAACUGAGCGAUAAUAUGCUGUAUGAGCCUCCUGCUCUGCUGCCCAUUACCUGCGUCACCUCCACAAGCUACUGAACCUCAAGGAACCCAUCUCCUCAUCAGGAAAAAAAAUAAGCUUUAUGUAG